UACGUAGGCAGCAAGCGUUGUUCGGAGUUACUGGGCGUAAAGAGUGCGUAGGCGGUUCUCUAAGUUUGGUGUGAAAUCUCCCGGCUCAACUGGGAGGGUGCGCCGAAGACUGGGGAACUUGAGUAUGGGAGAGGUAAGCGGAAUUCCUGGUGUAGCGGUGAAAUGCGUAGAUAUCAGGAGGAACACCUGUGGUGUAGACGGCUUACUGGACCAUCACUGACGCUGAGGCACGAAAGCGUGGGUAGCAAACAGG
rnacentral:rRNA from 1 species